UCCUCAAUCUCAAUCUCAAUCUCAAAUAAGUCCAAUAUAUAAUUAUGUUAGAUAAAAGAACUGUUUUAUUCAAGACUCUUAGAAAAUGUUGUACCACAAACGUGCCUUCAUAUAAAUUUAAUUGAUAACGUAGAUAAAGGGAGGGGGAAAAAAAAAACGAUUGAAACAAGUAAUACUAAUACGACUAGAGUGAGUUAGAUCGCAGCACAUGAGUGAUAUUAUCAUCAACAAGACUAAAAAUUACUUCAGCAUUUUCAUCAUUAAAGCUCUUCACUUCCCUGAGCUUGAAGGCCAACUUUUUGAGCUCUUCUAUUUCCUCCGUUGGUCCCAAUCUCCGCGACACUAUUCCUUGUAUCAUCCCCACGUAAAAACCAUACCUUCUCAAUAACUCGAUCUCCUCCUCACUCCCACCUCCUAAUAUUGCUCCACACGCCGCACCGCACGCGUGCAACCGACCUUCCUUUUUCUUGUAUGUUUCAUAGGUCAUUUCCACAUCUGUAGUACCAUUCAAUUUCCGAUCAUCAUCACAUUGACUACAUUGUAGCUCAUUGUACUGCCCCUCCACAACACCUUGUGAUCCCAUGGCGCGUGUCAUCUCAACCAUCACACGUAAAAUCCGACCCGAGUUGUUUCCGGCCGGGUUGUCGGAGCUGGCCAACAACUCCAGUCCAAACGGAAGCAUUGCAUCCACCACGAGAAGCUCCGUAUUUGGUUUGAAAGCGUGAUACAUCGUGGGCUUGGAUUUGGGGAUAAGACUAGGCCUGUCUGAUAGUGGAAGAUUUUCAUGAAUGAACGAAGCUGCAUGCAUGACGUGCAAAGCAGCAGCAGCAACAAUGGCUUGUUCGCGGUGGCCCCCGACGAGCUCACAGGCGGCCACACACAGCGCGGGGGCCAUGUUCACUGGGGCGGCGAAGACAAAAUGGCGCAUGGGUUCGUAAACUUCUACCGGCUCCUUUACGACGACGGCCUGCCGGAGGUGGGCCCCAAUAUCCUCAUGUACAGACGUCCAAUAUGAUUUAUUCUUGUUGGAUGUGGACAUGGCCAUGGUGACCAUCAUAGGUCUGUAGGGCAAUGAUGGACGGCUGUGAUUUCGCCUAGGGGCAACAUGAGCCGGUAGGUUUAAAACAGAGAGGGCUUUAGCCAUUGGUGCAGACUUCAAAAGACAAAUAGAAAGGAAGAAAUUAACUAUAUAUGAAGAAAGGUGAGUGAAAGAGAGAAAGGAUUAGGUGGAGAAAAAUUAUGAGUGUUUAAGCUUCUGGGUAUAUUUUGAUUGUAUAUAUAAGAGAAUAAAGAUAUUUCCAUGUGAAACAUGUGGUUCACGUUGCAUAAAGCUUUAGAUCAUUAUUAUAGUACCAUGUGCGAACCUCGUCAAUAUGCAAACAUCAUCAAUGUCCAACCAAUUAGAUAUGUCGUUCACGAGAUUUAUUUCCGUAGUCUUUAAUUAAACACGCAUUAAUUUAAACUUUUAAGCUGUAUAAGUGAUGGUUAUGUUGCCUGCCCCCCAAAAAAGAAAAAAAAAAUGAUAGAAAGUUAUUAUUAAAAUUUUGAUGGGAAGUUUAUAAAUAAUAGAAUAACAAUUAAUUAAGAUAAGUGAUCAAAUGUUUCAUACAAAUCACUAACUGAACAAUAAAAUAAUAAGAUAUAAGUAAUCACUUGAUAAGUUAUAAUUUUUAAUAAUUUCAUAUCGUAUGUAGCAUCAAUUACAUUAAAAAAAUAUAUAUACAAGCAUAUUAUUACUCUUUUAUUUAUUUAUUUAUUUUUAAUGGCUAAUAGAGAAUCUAGCGAAUUUCCAAAUUAGAAUUGGCAUCUUCAUCUCAAUUUGCAUUUCACGUCACGUGUUUCCCACUUUAUAAUUUAACACGCAUUUCGGUGGGUACAAGGAGGCCCGGGCCCCAUCUUGUUGGGGGUUUUCUUACGGAAUCUUCGAUGAGCACAAUUACUUCACUUCCUAAUUAUUUGGUAUAACUAAUCGGAAUCAACCCACACACCAAUGGGAAAAACAAAGAAAAAAGUUUAAUUUGUAAAUUUAUUUAUCUAUUUAUUACACACACACAUAUAUAGAGGAAGAUUAUGUGGUAGUAUUUUCCUCAUAGUAUCUAUAUUAUUUCGACGACCUCAAUUAUCGACAUGCAGUAUUGUAACAUAACAUAUCAUUCAUAUUAAUCAUAUAUAUUUAAGGUACGAUAAUAAUUGUGUCUGAUUAUUAGAUUCAUUAGUUCAGUUGAUAAAAAUUUUUAAUUGUAUUAUAAGAGGUACUAAAGUAAUAAAAUUUAUCAAAGGUUCAAGCGAUUGAAAACAAAUUCUAAGAGGGAUGAAUUGAAACUAUCAUCUUACUAGUUAAAUUUUGUCUUUAACAGAAGAAGACAACAGCGUAUAUCAACCAUGUUACUUGUAAAUAAUCAUUAGAAAUUAAUGAAAAUAUCUAAGAAUUGUAAUUAUGGAGUGAUUGAGAGUAGGAUAAGAAUAAAUUAUCUUUACUUAUCCGAUCAUUAUCUUAUAAGAGCUGGAAUUGAAGGAAUUAAUCAUAGUGAGUGAAGAGGAAGAAAGAACUUGACUAAAUUAAAUGUCCCUCAUUUAGAAAUAAUGGCGAACGUGCUUAAUUAAACCAAAUCAAACUAAUUUCCUUUUGAAUAUUAAUAAUGGCUGCUCGAUCAUUCAAGCUUGCACUCGUGUCAAUAUAUAAUUGAUGAAGCUGUAAAUCUAUCACUUAUGAUUAAAUGAAAGAAAUACGCGUACACGGAUGCAUGCAUUAUCAAUACCUAAUCACUACCGAUUUUGAUUUUAUACUUUGGCAUUAUCCAUAUCUAUACUUUGGCAUUUUAUACAGCUCAACCCCUGUUUUUAAAAUGCGUCCCCCAUGACUAGCAGCCAUGCAGGUGCGUAUCUAACACUCGUCUAGAUAAAAAAAAAAAAGACCAUUUUACCUCCAAAAUAAAAAUUACAAUAUCACCCUAAAAAAUGCCAAAAAUAAUAAGAUUUAAUGAUGAAUAUAAUUAUUGGUACGUUAAUGAAGUACAAAAAAAUCUUAACUACUAGAGAUUAUAACUCAAUAAAUAAUAAAACUCUACUUAUCUUAAAUUCAAUUGAUGGUUUGCGAGAUUUGACUAUUUUUAAUACUACUGUUAUAAUUUAACAUUCUAAUUACAGACAUAUUAAAAAAAAAAUCUUGCAUUUGAUGGUUAUGGAAUUAAUUUAUUUAUUGACCGAUGAGGAAAAUAAUUAGAUUUAAUCUGAUCAUUUUUGAUAUUUUUUAGGGUGAAAUUAUAAUUUUCGUUUUGGGGGGUAAAAUGGUCAUUUUUUAGUUUCUGUUAGUUUUCUUAACGGAUUCCAAACGGAAGUGAAAAAGUGAAACAAAAUGUAACUUUAGGUGGAUUCCAACAAAAAAAAAAAAGAAUUGUGUAUUUUUGAAAAAGUUAGAAAAAGCAGGUGGGCGGUGGAUAUUUUCCCUAAUUAAUAUUUACUUACCUAAAAAUAUUCAAUUCCCACUUCACCAUCAUAUUUUUCACAAAAAAAAAAAAGGCAUUCUUAUUGCAAGAAUGUUAAGAGUAUGUUUGGAAUUGCCUAGAUUCUCAAUUAAGCACUUCUGAAUUAGAUUUCAUAAUAAUCAGUUUUCUAAAUAACUUUAUAACAUGUUCAGUACAUUUAGAUUACGAAAUAAUUAUUUUUCAAUAAAUUUAAUAUACAUAUUUGAUAAAACUGAUCCCAGAUAUAUAGUGUCUGUGUACAAUGACUAAAAUGUCCACAUUUUCUUAAAAAAAUAUAAGUAAAAUAAUUUUAUCAAAUAAAUAUUUAUUAUUUUAUAAUUAAAAAAAAAACAAUAAUUACUGACGUAUGAUCAAAGGAAUAGCACACAUCAAGACAACACAAGUAAUUAAAAUAUAAACACUUUUUUAAAUCAAUAAAUUUUCAUGUACGAAUAAAUUAAUAAAUUAUUCAUUUUUUAAUAAUAUAUACGUUGACAAGAUAAUAAUUUUCCUCAGUCGCAAACAUAUUAAUUUACUGCACAUUUGAAAAUUUUCAAAUACAGUUGCUUUGUUUUAUGCAAAUGGGCGGUGCUACUGCAACAACUUUCUUUUAUUAAUUGCAAAAAUUGAUUAUAUAUCACAUUCAAAUCAUAAAUCUUCUCGGAAACUUUGAAGUCUUCAGCUCCAUGGUUGAUGUUCAUUCUCGGUCUUUUUAACUCACCGCACCAACAUCGACCCCACCUAACCUAAGUAAGAACAUGCUGCAUGCGUUUUUGAAAUAAGGUCCCAGUCAUGAGUUGAGUCAGUUGUCUCAUCAUUCCCUUUCUUUCAAACACAGCACACAUUAUUUUCCACUCAUUAUCCGCAACACCCAAUCGCACAUGCGAAACACGCAGUGGGGCUCUGCGUGUUCUAUUUUUCUUCUCUAACGAUUAACGUUGAAAGCUAGCCCUCGCCCGUUACUGAAAAUUAUCAUUACAUAAAAAAAAAACUAGAAAUUACUUCAAAUCCUUUUUCAUCGAAGCUCUUCGGUCUUCACUUCUUAGUGCCAUUUCUUCCAUCGACCCCACGUUAAAAGUCAAAAGGCCAUACCUUCUCGAUAACUCUUAUCUCCUCCUUACUUCCCACAUACAUUCUAAUAUUGAGAGAAAUUUAUAUGAGACUCUCUCACCACCUCAGCAUAUUAAGGAUGCAUUUGGGAUUGAGGUGCUGUAACUUUAAAGUUACAGCUGCUGUGAAAAAAAUAUAUAUAUAACUAUAAAAUAAAAGUUAAUAAUAUAUAAUAAAUAUAAAUUUUAAAUAAUAAUUUUGAUAAAAUUAUUAAAAAUAUAAUAAUUUUUCUAUUAUACAAGUGAAAAAUCAUAUCAACAUAACUCCUAAGGUACAACAGUUAGUGUUUACUAAAUACUUUAGUAUGUAGCUUUUAAACUAUAACUGCCCAAUCUCAAUCCCAAACGCACCUUAAAAAUCUUUGGGUCAGGUUUUCGUUUAUUCUUGAAAAAUCUUUGGACACGUUGAAAGUCAUUGCGCUGAGGUGGUUAAGAUAGUCUCACACAAAUCUUUCUCCUAAUAUUACUCCACAUGCGGCACCGCACAUGUGUAACUCACCUCGUUUAUUCUUGAAAAAUCAGGUCCAAGUAAUCUUUGGGUCAGGUUGUCGUAGUUUGCUAGGAAUUCGAGCCCAAAUGCUAUCAUUCCGUCCCCAAUGAGUAGCUAAUACCUUUGGGCUGAAAGCAUGACGCAUCAUGGGCUUUGGGUUUGGGAAUAAGACUGGGCCUGUCUAAUAAUGGAAGAUCUUCACGAAUGAAUUAAGCUGCAUGCUUUGCAAAGAAGCCGCAGCAGCAGCUAUGACUUGUUCCCGGAGGCCUCCGACGAACUCGAAGGCGGCGAUGAAAAGAGCCCGGGUCUUGUUAACGGGGGCGACGAAACCAAAUGGCACAUGGGCUUGUAAAAUUCAACUGGCUCUGUUUAAACGAAGUCCUGUCUGAGAUGGGCCUCGAUAUCCUCAUAUAUAGACGUCCAAUAUAAUCGAUAGCACAUGGUCAUGAAUAUCAUGGAUCAGUGAUGGACGGUUGUGAUUUCGCAUAGAGGCAAUGUAGAUUGAAGUUGGCCAGGGCUUUUGCCAUUGCUUCGAUGUUCAGAAGACAAAGGAAGGAACUAUAUAUGAAGAAAAGGUAAAGGAAUUAAGGAGAGAGAACGCGUACAUACAGAACUAUUUAGGCUCCCUCCAAUAUUUAUCAUUGGGCAAUGGAAGUUCUAAUUGUAAAACAAAGACUAAUAGUGUUUAAGUUUAUAGUUACCUUGGUUAUUGAGGUCAUGUUUAAUAUUGAGAUUGGGUAAAGUUACAGUAGUAAAGUGUUUGUUAAACCUUAAUUAUUAGGGUUUGAAAAUUCAACUGAUUUCAUUUGAUUCAAUAGUUUUAUGAUAAAAAAUUAUAAUAUAUUUAUUAUUUAAAAAUCAUAUUUACUAAACACUCUUAAUUUUCAUUUCAUACUUACAAUUUUCUUUCUUCACGGCAACUAUUACUUAAAAGUGAUAAUAUCUUAAUACCAAAUAAGACCUAAGACAUCAAGACGAUAAUUAAGUAGUUGUGCAUAAUCUUUAUCCGCAAAAAAUAUUGGUAAAGAAAAACCUUACCCACCUCUCUUUCCAAGUUGCUCUAUUGUUCUGGAAGCAACUUCUUCCUCCAUUUUCAGUCAACAUGCAUGCUGACCUUUAUUUCUCUUCUUCCUCAUUUUUUUUAUAUAUUUUAUUAUAUUAAUAAAGUUAAUGAAAUGAAAUAAAAAAGGACCGAGGGUGGACGUGAAGUUUUUCCUAUGGUUUACUGCUGCAUAUAUUAAUUUGAUCACCAACGAUCAAGAAAUUUCUCAGUGACUUCCGAGGAAUUGAAAAUUUUGUACUGAGAAUAAUAUGAUUGAUUAGGGUAGGCCAAAAUGUCACCAAAACCGCGUUAUUUUCUUUCGUAAAAUUGAUGCCAUAGUACUAUUUUUUAAACUCGACUUUUCAACCUAUUCAUAGUCGACACCAACUAGAACCAACUUAAACCAUUUUUAUUAUUAUGAUAAUUAAAAUGAUUCCAUAUGUUGCUUUCGAAUAGAAGUUUUGAUUUGCUUCCAAGAAAUUUAAUGACCCCUUCCUUAUUUUUGUAAUGUAAACGACAUCUUAAUUAGUAGCCAAUAAAAUAUCUGCCCCGUUAAACAAAAGAAACAGAACCCUUUAUCCUUUUUUUUAUUUUGUUCUUUUUUUCAUUUGGCAUCGACAGAUUUUAUUGUGGAAAAUUAUAGCAAUAUGACAAAAUAUAUAGGAGUGGACAAGCUUUCAGUAAUCGUGAAGCUGGCUACUUAAUUAAUUAGUUAUAAAUAGCCUAUGAUUCUGUUUAGAAUUGAGAUACUGUAACUUUUAAACUACAACUAUUAUGAAAAAAAAUUGUAACUAUUAAAUAUAAAAUUUUAAUAAUAAUUUUGAUAAAAGUAUUAAAGAUAUAAUAGAUUUUUCGUGAUACAAGUGAAAAAUCAUAUCAACAUAACUUCCAAAGUUACAGCGGUUAUUGUUUACUGAACAGUUUAGUGUUGUAACUUUUAAGUUAUAACGUUUCAACCUCAAUUCCAAACGAACACUAUAUAUCCAUACUCUUGUUGGUUGUAGAUGUAGCUAGAGAGUGAGUGUUAAGAAAAAUAUCUCAUAUCUAUUGAGUAUUGAAUUUAUAUUAAGAAUAUAAAACUUGGACAAUCUUCAAUUCUUGAGUUAGUUCUUAGGUUGAGUUAGGUCUGUAAGUUUUAUAGAGAAUUAGCUUGGAAAUGAUCAAUUAAGUAUUAACAAUGGGUGAUUCCAAAAUGGUAAUGAUGUUAUACAAAUAUAUGUAUAUGUAUGUUAAUAUUGGAAAGGUUUUGGAGCUGUGAGGGAUGUUUGGAGCAAGAGAGAUCAGCUCUCUUACAACUUAAAAAUUUCUUCAAUUCUCCAAAACACUUGUAGACUGGGUAAUUAAUGAUAAUGAUAAUGAUGAUGAGAGAAUUAUCAUCAACAGACUUAAUCUUGAUUUAUUUUAAUUAAUGAUAAUGAGACUUUAAUCUUGAUUUAUUUUAAUUCUUAGAAGCUUUGAAGGUUCACCAACUUGAAGCUUCUUUGAUUAACCGAAACGUUCUUCAACGACAGCAUCUUAUCAUCUCCAAUUGCUUUAAUUUCCAUCAUUAAUAAUUUUAUCAUUGUCUGAUAAUAGAUUGGAAAGACGUAUUGAUGUUAAAGGUAAUGAAGCUUCAUCUCUUCUCCCUACUAUACAUCACACUUUUUGCUGCAAUCGGAUUCAUUUAAGUAUUAUCUACGACUCCGAGGAAUUUACAAAUACAAGUUUCAUAUCCUGUACUUUCGUAUGUCUUGCUUUCAAGAAUAAAGAAAGAAAGUGUCCUUUUGUUACAAAUCAAACAGCCGCCUACGUAAAUCAAUCGUAUUAAUUUUAUUAGUGGAGCUUUUAAAUACAUGAACAACUCUUUGCAGAAUUAGAUUCUCCAAUCCAUUUAGAGAAGCAUGACAUUAGCUUGAACAUGGUUGACAAAUUUAUUGGCCCAAAAGAUACGAUAUCUAAUUGAAUACCGAAAAAUCUACGUUUGGUAGUGUUUUCGAGUUAUAUUUUUGUAUUUGGUUUAUAAUAUAGAAAUGAUUAAUUUUGGAUGAAUUUGAAAAUGUGUUCGACAAUUUGUUUUUAAAACAGUAUUAUGAAAAUAAUAAAAAAAAGAAAAAAGAAAAAAGAAAUGUGCUUGAUUCUUUUUCUGGAAUUAUAGUGACAAUGAAAGAGUAAGGGGAAAAAAAUUAUAUUAUAGGAAAAGAAUUUUUGAACAGGUAACUAAAAUAAUAUUUAGGAAAAUCUAUAAUUUAUAAAAAGUCAAAAAAACGAUACAUUCUCAGUACUCCUUAGAACUAUAAGUGAGAUACUGACAUUUUUCAUAAUAUAGUAUGAAUAUUUGAUUGUUACUCUGGACCAAAAAAAAAAAAAAAAAAUUGUAAAUUAAAUAACAUAAAAUCUUCUAUAGAUCGGUAGUUAUCUUUAAAUGCAGGCUAAUUGUGUGAAGCAACUCAAUCGCUCGUUAAUGUGAUUUCAACAUACAAUCACUCGAAUUUAAGUAAUAAUAAAAGGCAAAAAUUAGUGUUUAAUUAUUAAAAAAUUUCAUUCCAUCGAAACCUUCUUUUUCCGGGGGAAAAAAAUAAAAUAUUGUGAUGCUGCCAUUAUUGUUAUUAUUACUUAAACUGUUCAAAAACAGGCCCAGCAGAGAGCUGAAAUCAAAUCUGAACAUGGAGAAGUCAAAACACGAAAUUGCGAAAGUAAACAAAUCACAUGCGCGUAACAAGAUCAUAAUAUUAAUAUCAUGGUAGGUAAAGUGAAUCCAUGUGCACCGUGUGAUUUCCCUUCUUUCUUCGUUCUUUCUUAUAUUCUCAUCUACAGAUCUGUGUAUGUCAACUCUUCUAAAUUAUUCAAUUAUGAGAAUGGUCAGCUCAACCACGGAUUCAAGAUUUCACGUUAAACAAGGUUAAAAAUUCGUUUAGAAUUAAAGUGUCCGUAGCUUUUAAUUCAUAAUUUUUAUAAAAUGGAAUGAUUGAUUUUAUUAAACAAAAAGAAUGGAUCGGUGUUCGAAAAUCCAUAAUUAAACUAAAAGUGUUUACCUAUUAAAAAUAAGCUGGAGUACUGUAAUUAUAUACAAAUUAGGAAAUAAAACUGCGCUUCGCACAGUUUUAAAAAAAGAAUUUAGUAUUAUCUUUUUUUUUUUUUACUUUAUAAUUGAUGAAACUGAUAAAAAAUAUGAAUUGAUUUUUUUUUAAAGAUGAUGUAACCUUAUAAAACUAAUGUUAUUUAUGAAAGUUAAUUAUUUUUUUGUUAACUUUAAAAAUAUAUAUUAAUGUGUAUAGUUAAGUAUACACAACAUUUUCAUCAAUAAAAAUUAUAUUCACACUAAUCAAUUCUUCAUUCUUCUUGAUAUUAACAGACUCUCACAUCCUACAAAGCCUAACUCUUAUCAUCCAACUAUCUUUAUCAUUAUUCAACUCAUGAAGAAAAUAGUACUUCAUGAAGCACACAAUACUAAAAAUUUAAAUAAGUUAAAAAAUAAAAACACAAGAACAUUUCUAAAGAGGAUGUUGGUUAAAUAAUAAAAAAAAACUCAAACAUAACAAAUUUUAAAUACUUAAUGUUUAUAGAGUUUGAAGAAGCCAAAAGACACUAAAUAAAAAGUUGCAUAAUUAAAUAUGAGAUUAUGACAUUAAAAUUAGGCGCUAGUGGCGUUGGUGAGGAAAGAUGAAGGAACUUUCCUCCUAUAUUAAUUAGUUAAUGUAUUUUAAACCACAAAAGUUUAGUUGUUGGCUUAAUAAAAUAAAUGAAUGUUUCAAAACUUAUAAUUAAUUAUUAUUAAUGGUUACAUAUUGUUGAAUUUAAAUAGAAAGAGGAAGAGACAUGUAAUCUUUUGAAAUCUAAUAAUUAUUUUCUAUUUUUAAUAUUUUGCAGUGUAAUUACUUUUUAAUCUCAACCAAUAUAUUAGAUAAUAGAGAAUAUAAAAAGAUGAGAAAUAAUGAUGCCACAAAUCUUAACUACUUAAUAUUUAUAGAGUUUGAAGAAGGAAAAGGCACUAAACAAAAUGUUGCAUAAUUAAAUAUGAGAUUAUGACAUUAAAAUUAGGCCUUAAUGGCAUUGUUGAGAGAAGAUGAAGAAACCUUCCUUCCUUUAUUAAUUAAUUGAUGUAUUUAAGCCACUAAAAUUUAAUUGUUGGCAUAAUAAAAUAAAUGAAUGUUUCAAGACUUAUAAUUCAUUAUUAUUAAUGGUUACAUAUUAUUGAAUUUAAAUAGAAAGAGGAAGAGACAUGUGAUCUUUUGUAAUCUAAUAAUUAUUUUCUAUUUAUUUUUUUAUUUUUAAUAUUUUGUAAUGUAAUUAUUUUUUUAAUCUCAACCAAUUUAUUAGAUAAUAGAGAAUACAAGAAGAUGAGAAAUGGUGAUGUCACAUCACCUCCUCUAGUCCCAAUUUUAUAUAUAUACUAGAAAAUAGAACUGGGCUUCACGCGGCUUUGAAAAAAGAAUUUAGUAUUAUCAUUUUUUCUUACUUUACACUUGAUGAAACUGAUAAAAAAUAUGAAUUAAUUUUUUUUUAAAGAUGAGGCAGCCUUAUAAAAAAAAAAAAAACUAUUAGCCAGCAAUACAAAUAAAGAAGCAACGCAAGAUAAAGAAUAAAAUGAGAGAAUAUAUUAUAGAGUGAUUUUAUUCAUUCCAAUUGUGUGUGUAUAAAACAAAAAGAUGAGCUCUCAUUUUAUAGUUAUAUAAUCACUCCAUGAAAUUAAUGAAAAAUUAUGGAUCAUAAUUCAUUGUGAGAUAGUGAGAGUUAUAGGGAAGCUAAAUGUUGCUAAUGGGAGAUAGUGGGGAGACUAAGAAAUAUAUGUUAUGAACAUCCACAUUUAUUUUAAUAAAUUCAUAACACUCCCCCUUGGAUGUUCAUUACAAAGAAUAUACCUCAUUAAAAUCUUUACAUAAUUAUUAUUGCAUAAUAACAAUCAAAUUAAUUAUGAGAAGAUGAAAAGCCAAAUCUAAAAGAAAAUUUCUCUAGUUAUUAGAUAAUAGAGAAUAUACAAAGAUGAGAAAUUGUGAUGCCACAUCACCUCUUCAAGUCCCAGCUUUAUAUAUAUACUAGAAAAUAAAACCGCGUUUCACGCGGCUUUGAAAAAAGAAUUUAGUAUUAUCUUUUUUUCUUACUUUACACUUGAUGAAACUGAUAAAAAAUAUGAAUUGAUUUUUUUUUAAGAUGAGGCAGCCUUAUAAAAAACAAAAAAAGCUAUUAGCCAGCAAUACAAAUAAAGAAGCAACGCAAGAUAAAGAAUAAAAUGAGAGAAUAUAUUAUAGAGUGAUUUUAUUCAUUCCAAUUGUAUGUGUAUAAAACAAAAAGAUGAGCUCUCCUUUUAUAGUUACAUAAUCAUUCCAUGAAAUUAAUAAAAAAUUAUGGAUCAUAAUUCAUUGUGAGAUAGUGGGAGUUAUAGGGAAGCUAAAUGUUGCUAAUGGGAGAUAGUGUGGAGACUAAGAGAUAUAUGUUAUGGAUCAUAAUUCAUUGUGAGAUAGUGGGAGUUAUAGAGAAGCUAAAUGUUGCUAAUGGGAGAUAGUGGGGAGACUAAGAGAUAUAUGUUAUGAACAUCUACAUUUAUUUUAAUAAAUUCAUAACACUCCCCCUUGGAUGUUCAUUACAAAGAAUAUGCCUCAUUAAAAUCUUUACAUAAUUAUUAUUGCAUAAUAACAAUCAAAUUAAUUAUGAGAAGAUGAAAAACCAAAUCUAAAAGAAAAUAUCUCUAUUUAUUAGAUAAUAUAGAAUAUAUAAAGAUGAGAAAUGGUGAUACCACAUCACCUCUUCAAGUCCCAACUUUAUAUAUAUAUAUAGAUAUACAUAGAUAGACUCAAGUGGGAUUAAACAUCAAAUCCAAUUCAAUGAAGUGUGAUGUCGGAACGAGCCAACUAUUUAUUAGUUGUUAUCAUAACAUAGAUAAAUAAUAAUAAUAAUAAUAAUAAUAAUAACAAUAAUAAAAAAAUUUCCCCCUUGAUUUUACGUCGCACCCACAUCGAUCCAUUUGAUCAUCACAUGCAUUUACCUUCCACAACAAAGAAUAAAGUGAACCAGCUGUCUUUCGAACCUUACUCCAUGUGAGUUAUGAGAAAGGUUCAAAUUGAAAUUUGAAAGGGAGGAAGAGGAAAAUUAACCUAAGAAAUUAACCUCAUUAAUUAUAUUUCAAUAUAUAUUAUUAAAAGAAUAAGCAAAAAAUUGAAGGCAAUCAUGUUGAUAUAGUAGCCUAUUUGUGAAUGUAUAUAGUAUCUGCCUUUUUUUGGCUCAGGAAUGAUGUUAUUAUUACUAGUGUUUCGGCAAGCAACUCGAUCUUUUUGGCUCAGGAAUGAUGUUAUUAUUACUAGUGUUUCGGCAAGCAACUCGAUCUCAAAAUGACAAUUAAUUGUUUGAUAAAAGUAAGCAAAGAAAGUGAAAUCAUGCAUGGGACAGUUUCUGCUGUUGGCAAAGUCAAAAGAAGAAGGAAGAGGAAUUGAUAGGCUUUAAAAUAAGGGACAAAAAUCGCGAACCGACAUGCAAUGUAAAUAAUUUUUUUUUUUUUGGUUGAAUUUAAUAAAUUUCUCUUUAUCGAUAAUAUUUCGAAUGAAUAUUUAAGUUGAUAAAAGAAUAAUGUAAAGAGAUUUAAAUUAAGGAAGCAGUGGGCAAUUGUCACUACUACACUCACAAUGAAAAUAGAUGGAGGAGCAUAAGAUCAUGAUAUGAUGCAAGGCGUAAUGCCUUCAACAAGUUUUUUUUGGCUUUCUUCAUUCUUUGUCAUACGAAUAAUAUAGCUUGUGGGUUUGCUUCUUUAUAUGACCUCUUUAGUGAGAAGAGAUUUAAAAGUAAUUUUUAUUUUUAUAAUAGGCUGGAAUACGAAUACCUAAAAAUAAUAAAAAAACUUGUCUAUAUAAAUAGUCAUGAUUCCGGAUCACACUCCUCUUUCAAUUAUUUCUAACAUCUCAUCAUUAUAGAGAGAACACAUAGAAAAUUAAAUGAUUCUUUAAGAGAACGUGUUGAUUUGGAAGUCAACCACACAACUCUAUAGAGUAAUUAAGCACUAUAGAUUCAGGUACGUUUCUACAUAUUUUGUUAUUAAUUAUUGGUGAUACAACAUGAAUAUUAGGAAUUACUCUUGGUUAAAUCACCUAUUCUACAAUAAAUUUUGAAAAGUAAGUACAGAGUAGCUUUUCAAAAUCUAAUUUUGAUAAUCACUUUUACAUAUAAUACAAUUCCAUGUAUAUCUUCAUAUACAUUAUAAAAGUCCAAAAUUAUCCUUAGUGAUUAAGAAAUAAAAUCAUUAAAUUUAGAGAGACUAUUGUUAUUACCAAUUAUAUUGAGAUAACAAAAUAAAAAAUAAAAAAUAAAAUUAUUAAUAUAAAAUAUUUAUUUUAGUUAUCAAUUAUUAUAUGUAAUCAUACAACAAUCAAUUUUCUAUAAUAUAUUAACGAUAUGUAAUCAUACAAUGAUCAAUUUGAUCCCCACAUGUACAUAUUUGCUAUAACAUCCACAACAAAGAAAGUGAAACCAGCUGUCUUGGCAUCUUGCUAGCCCCACUACCCACUCCGUGUUAGUUGUGUGAAAGAUUCAAAUUCAUUGAAAGGGAGGAGGAUUAGGAAACAAACAUGAUCAAUUAUGGGUUGAAAAAGAGUAAUAAUAGUAAUAUUCAAAAAAUGAAAUUUAUUUAUAUUUUCUAUAUUAAUUAAAUGUCUGUUUGGUAUAACUUAUCUAAUAGUAAUAAGUGCUUAUUUAAUUGCAUAAAUUAUUAUUAAAAUUUUGUUAUUAUUAUUAUUUUUAAUUUUAAGUAGAGGUUUUAAAGAUUAAAUAAGUUAUUUUGCCUCUAUUAGUAAAAGCUCAAAUUUUAGAUUUUUAAGAAUAGAGAUUGAUUUUUUUUUAAAUGUUAAAAUGUUUAGAUUAUCCUUUACUUAUUUAACAAUCUUAUUUCAUUUAUUUUGUAAUUUAACUUUUAAAAAAUUAUCUAUCAAAGUAAUUUUAUAAUUUUUAAUAAAAACUUGAUAACUAAAUAACUAAUUUUUUUUUAGGUAAAAGCUUUACUAACAAAUACUCUAUUUAAAUAAAUUUUAUAUGAAAAGAUAUAUCAAAUAUAGUUUAAAAAGAAUAAGUAAAAAUUAAUUUGAAGGAGUAAAAAGUGAAUGAUGUUACUUAAAAUGCUGAGAAAGAAGUUAGGUUAAUAACAACUUAAGCACUAAAAAAAAAAAAAAGAAGCAAUCAUGUUCACAUAAUAGCCAACUAGUGAAUAUAUAUAAAUACAUUAAAAGUUUUUCAAUGAAAAUUUUUGCACUUCAGUAAGAACGGGUUCUCUCUAUUUAUCCCCUUUAUUUGACUAAAAAAAUGAUGUUAUUAUUACAAGUGUUCCGAUACAACAACUCGAUCUCAAAGUGACGAUCAGUCAGCCACUUGGGUCGAGUCGUCAGGCAGCAGUUCGAACCCCCAUAAGUGUAUUGUGGGGGUAUUUUAUUCCUUAAUUAAAAUUAAAUAAAGGUAGUCUUAUC
rnacentral:lncRNA from 1 species